GGUUAAGUUAGAAAGGGCGCACGGUGGAUGCCUUGACACUAGGAGUCGAUGAAGGACGGGACUAACGCCGAUAUGCUUCGGGGAGCUGUAAGUAAGCUUUUAUCCGAAGAUUUCCGAAUGGGGAAACCCACCAUACGUAAUGGUAUGGUAUCCUUACCUGAAUACAUAGGGUAAGGAAGACAGACCCAGGGAACUGAAACAUCUAAGUACCUGGAGGAAGAGAAAGCAAAUGCGAUUUCCUGAGUAGCGGCGAGCGAAACGGAACAUAGCCCAAACCAAGAGGCUUGCCUCUUGGGGUUGUAGGACAUUCUAUACGGAGUUACAAAGGAACGAGGUAGACGAAGCGACCUGGAAAGGUCCGUCGUAGAGGGUAACAACCCCGUAGUCGAAACUUCGUUCUCUCUUGAAUGUAUCCUGAGUACGGCGGAACACGUGAAAUUCCGUCGGAAUCUGGGAGGACCAUCUCCCAAGGCUAAAUACUCCCUAGUGAUCGAUAGUGAACCAGUACCGUGAGGGAAAGGUGAAAAGCACCCCGGAAGGGGAGUGAAAGAGAUCCUGAAACCGUGUGCCUACAAAUAGUCAGAGCCCGUUAACGGGUGAUGGCGUGCCUUUUGUAGAAUGAACCGGCGAGUUACGAUCCCGUGCGAGGUUAAGCUGAAGAGGCGGAGCCGCAGCGAAAGCGAGUCUGAAUAGGGCGUUUAGUACGUGGUCGUAGACCCGAAACCAGGUGAUCUACCCAUGUCCAGGGUGAAGUUCAGGUAACACUGAAUGGAGGCCCGAACCCACGCACGUUGAAAAGUGCGGGGAUGAGGUGUGGGUAGCGGAGAAAUUCCAAUCGAACCUGGAGAUAGCUGGUUCUCCCCGAAAUAGCUUUAGGGCUAGCCUUAAGUGUAAGAGUCUUGGAGGUAGAGCACUGAUUGGACUAGGGGUCCUCAUCGGAUUACCGAAUUCAGUCAAACUCCGAAUGCCAAUGACUUAUCCUUAGGAGUCAGACUGCGAGUGAUAAGAUCCGUAGUCAAAAGGGAAACAGCCCAGACCGCCAGCUAAGGUCCCAAAGUGUGUAUUAAGUGGAAAAGGAUGUGGAGUUGCUUAGACAACUAGGAUGUUGGCUUAGAAGCAGCCACCAUUUAAAGAGUGCGUAAUAGCUCACUAGUCGAGUGACUCUGCGCCGAAAAUGUACCGGGGCUAAAUACACCACCGAAGCUGCGGAUUGAUACCAAUGGUAUCAGUGGUAGGGGAGCGUUCUAAGGACAGUGAAGUCAGACCGGAAGGACUGGUGGAGUGCUUAGAAGUGAGAAUGCCGGUAUGAGUAGCGAAAGACGGGUGAGAAUCCCGUCCACCGAAUGCCUAAGGUUUCCUGAGGAAGGCUCGUCCGCUCAGGGUUAGUCAGGACCUAAGCCGAGGCCGACAGGCGUAGGCGAUGGACAACAGGUUGAUAUUCCUGUACCACCUCUUUAUCGUUUGAGCAAUGGAGGGACGCAGAAGGAUAGAAGAAGCGUGCGAUUGGUUGUGCACGUCCAAGCAGUUAGGCUGAUAAGUAGGCAAAUCCGCUUAUCGUGAAGGCUGAGCUGUGAUGGGGAAGCUCCUUAUGGAGCGAAGUCUUUGAUUCCCCGCUGCCAAGAAAAGCUUCUAGCGAGAUAAAAGGUGCCUGUACCGCAAACCGACACAGGUAGGCGAGGAGAGAAUCCUAAGGUGUGCGAGAGAACUCUGGUUAAGGAACUCGGCAAAAUGACCCCGUAACUUCGGGAGAAGGGGUGCUUUCUUAACGGAAAGCCGCAGUGAAUAGGCCCAAGCGACUGUUUAGCAAAAACACAGCUCUCUGCGAAGCCGUAAGGCGAAGUAUAGGGGGUGACACCUGCCCGGUGCUGGAAGGUUAAGGAGAGGGGUUAGCGUAAGCGAAGCUCUGAACUGAAGCCCCAGUAAACGGCGGCCGUAACUAUAACGGUCCUAAGGUAGCGAAAUUCCUUGUCGGGUAAGUUCCGACCCGCACGAAAGGUGUAACGAUUUGGGCACUGUCUCAACCAGAGACUCGGUGAAAUUAUAGUACCUGUGAAGAUGCAGGUUACCCGCGACAGGACGGAAAGACCCCGUGGAGCUUUACUGUAGCCUGAUAUUGAAUUUUGGUACAGUUUGUACAGGAUAGGCGGGAGCCUUUGAAACCGGAGCGCUAGCUUCGGUGGAGGCGCUGGUGGGAUACCGCCCUGACUGUAUUGAAAUUCUAACCUACGGGUCUUAUCGACCCGGGAGACAGUGUCAGGUGGGCAGUUUGACUGGGGCGGUCGCCUCCUAAAGUGUAACGGAGGCGCCCAAAGGUUCCCUCAGAAUGGUUGGAAAUCAUUCGUAGAGUGCAAAGGCAUAAGGGAGCUUGACUGCGAGACCUACAAGUCGAGCAGGGACGAAAGUCGGGCUUAGUGAUCCGGUGGUUCCGCAUGGAAGGGCCAUCGCUCAACGGAUAAAAGCUACCCCGGGGAUAACAGGCUUAUCUCCCCCAAGAGUCCACAUCGACGGGGAGGUUUGGCACCUCGAUGUCGGCUCAUCGCAUCCUGGGGCUGUAGUCGGUCCCAAGGGUUGGGCUGUUCGCCCAUUAAAGCGGUACGCGAGCUGGGUUCAGAACGUCGUGAGACAGUUCGGUCCCUAUCCGUCGUGGGCGUAGGAAAUUUGAGAGGAGCUGUCCUUAGUACGAGAGGACCGGGAUGGACGCACCGCUGGUGUACCAGUUGUUCUGCCAAGGGCAUAGCUGGGUAGCUAUGUGCGGAAGGGAUAAGUGCUGAAAGCAUCUAAGCAUGAAGCCCCCCUCAAGAUGAGAUUUCCCAUAGCGUAAGCUAGUAAGAUCCCUGAAAGAUGAUCAGGUUGAUAGGUUCGAGGUGGAAGCAUGGUGACAUGUGGAGCUGACGAAUACUAAUAGAUUGAGGACUUAACCAU
rnacentral:rRNA from 1 species